rnacentral:miRNA from 1 species
ACCUAUUGUCCUCCCCCCUGGCCCCCACCCCUGAGCUGCGGGUGGGGGCCCUAAAUUGGAGCUCAGGGGUGGGGGCCAGGGGGGAGGACAUUAG